rnacentral:rRNA from 1 species
UACGUAGGUGGCAAGCGUUAUCCGGAUUCACUGGGUGUAAAGGGCGUGUAGGCGGGGAAGCAAGUCAGAUGUGAAAACCACGGGCUCAACCUGUGGCCUGCAUUUGAAACUGUUUUUCUUGAGUGCUGGAGAGGCAAUCGGAAUUCCGUGUGUAGCGGUGAAAUGCGUAGAUAUACGGAGGAACACCAGUGGCGAAGGCGGAUUGCUGGACAGUAACUGACGCUGAGGCGCGAAAGCGUGGGGAGCAAACAGG